rnacentral:tRNA from 1 species
GCCGGAUUAGCACAGCGGUAGUGCAUUCGAUUCGUAAUCGAAAGGUCAUGGGUUCGAUUCCCAUAUCCGGCU